UUUCUUUGCUUUCAUAUUGACCAUUAGAUUCGAUUGAUCAAUGGUUCAUACUUGCAAUCCAUGUAAUUCUUGUUUCAACCAAUCAAAAAAUAGAAAUAAAUUAAAUUAAAAAUAAGAAAAAUGAAUAGAAGGGUCUCUCUCUCCUCUCAUCUCUCUAUACACUGAAGGCUCUCUCAAAAAAGUAAAAAGAAAAGAAACGAAAUAAAAGGGGAAACCCUUCAUCUUCCUCGCCCACCAGUCGUCUUCAUCGUCUCUCUCACCACCCAACCAUUCACACGAAACCCUCACUCUCUCUCCACCACUCAUUUCCCAAAUCCUACCUAAACCACCGCCAAUU
rnacentral:lncRNA from 1 species